rnacentral:rRNA from 1 species
CCGCCAUAUAGGCCGCAUGUGUCAGGUUCGCCUGACGGUGUGGUUGUGGUGGUGGGGUCUGGGGAUCCUCCGUGCAGGUAGGCAAGCGUGUUAACAGGGGUGACGCACAGUGGUAGCCCGGCGGACCUGAUGGCUUGGUCCGUUCAAGCGCGCAGCCCGUUUCCCAGGUAAAUCCGGGGGACUGUCUUUGAUGACGGGGGUGAGGCGUGAUGGUGACCUCACGUUGGUGGGGGAUAACAGGGUGAUCCUGGGGUGCCGAGAAAAGCCUCGACGCGAUGGUGCCAGCCGCCCGUACCCUAAACCGACACAGGUGGUCGGGCAGAGUAUGCCUAGGCGCACGAGUGAAUCAUGGUUAAGGAACUCGGCAAAAUGCCCCCGUAACUUCGGGAGAAGGGGGGCCUGAUCCCUGAAGCCCCGUUUGCGGGCUAGGGGGGAGGGUCGCAGAGGCCAGGGGGAAGCGACUGUUUACUAAAAACACAGGUCCGUGCGAAGCCGUAAGGCGAUGUAUACGGACUGACGCCUGCCCGGUGCUGGAAGGUUAAGAGGAACCAUCAACCCCCUCGGGGGUGAAGUGGUGAAUUUAAGCCCCAGUAAACGGCGGUGGUAACUAUAACCAUCCUAAGGUAGCGAAAUUCCUUGUCGGGUAAGUUCCGACCUGCACGAAUGGCGUAACGACUUCCCCGCUGUCUCAACCAUGAGCUCGGCGAAAUUGCAGUACGAGUAAAGAUGCUCGUUUCGCGCAGAAGGACGGAAAGACCCCGGGACCUUUACUACAGCUUGGUAUUGGCGCCCGCUAUAGCUUGUGCAGGAUAGGUGGGAGACUGUGAAGCCGUUACGCCAGUGGCGGUGGAGUCGUCCUUGAAAUACCACUCUGGUUAUGGCGUGCGCCUGAACCUGGGCCCGUGAUCCGGGUUAGGGACAGUGCCUGGUGGGUAGUUUAACUGGGGCGGUUGCCUCCUAAAGUGUAACGGAGGCGCUCAAAGGUUCCCUCAGCCUGGUCGGCAACCAGGUGUUGAGUGCAAGUGCACAAGGGAGCUUGACUGUGAGACCGACGGGUCGAGCAGGUACGAAAGUAGGAACUAGUGAUCCGGCGAUCCCGUGUGGGUGGGUCGUCGCUCAACGGAUAAAAGGUACCCCGGGGAUAACAGGCUGAUCCUGCCCAAGAGUCCAUAUCGACGGCAUGGUUUGGCACCUCGAUGUCGGCUCGUCGCAUCCUGGGGCUGGAGCAGGUCCCAAGGGUUGGGCUGUUCGCCCAUUAAAGCGGUACGCGAGCUGGGUUUAGAACGUCGUGAGACAGUUCGGUCCCUAUCCUCUGCGCGCGCAGGAGACUUGAGAAGGCCUGUCCCUAGUACGAGAGGACCGGGACGGACGAACCUCUGGUGUGCCAGUUGUCCCGCCCGGGGCACGGCUGGUUGGCUACGUUCGGGAAGGGUAACCGCUGAAAGCAUCUAAGCGGGAAACCAUCUUCAAGAUAAGGUCUCCACAAGAAGGACUUGUCCUUUUUGGUAGGCCCCCAGCAGACUACUGGGUUGAUAGGCCAGGAGUGGAAGACCGGUAACGGUCUGUGAGCUGACUGGUACUAAUAGGCCGACACAAACAACAA